CUUGGUCUUAGUAUUUUGUGUUUUCUUUAUUUAUUUGGUCAGGCCAGGGUGUGACAUGGGUUAUUGUGGUGUGUUUUUGUCUUAGGAGUUUUGUGGGGUGUCUACGUAGUCUAUGGCUGCCUGAGGCGGUUCUCAAUCAGAGUCAGGUGAUUAUCGUUGUCUCUGAUUGGGAGCCAUAUUUAGGCAGCCAUAUUCUGUGAGUGUUUUGUGGGUGAUUGUUCCUGUCUUUGUGUUUGCACCAGAUAGGGCUGUUUCGGUUUUCGUUAUUUCAUUUAGUUAUUUUUGUAGUUUCUGUAUGUAUAGUUUUCCUUCAUUAAAAUAUCCUGAAUCAUCAUCACGCUGCAUUUUGGUCUGAUCCUUGUUAUACCUCUUCGUCAGAGGAGGAGAUAGAAGAGAGCCGUUACACAUGGGUCAUCGCUACUUGGGAAACACAAGGACAAAGAGGAUGAGAUUGAAAUGGAGGAAGGUGGAGUCACCACGUGAUGCUGCUGCCCCUCAGCUUUUUGACUGGAAGGACACUGGUGGACUGUCAGCUCUCAGACCUUUGUCAGGAGGACGACACUAUAGACAUGUCACCUGUGCACCAGGAAGACAAUAGCUGCCCCCACAGUGACGAGGGUAGGCAGAUGCUGGAGACACUGAACAUGCUGCUGAGUCUGCAAACACGGCUGAGGGACAAUCACACCCUCGCCCUCACAGGACACAUACAUAUACACCGGCCAGUUUAUUAGGCACACCACCCGUUCACGAAAAUGGAUCGCUCCUACAGACAGUAUAAAGCAGGCUGACAGGCACUGAGGCAUUCGGUUACUCUUUCGAGUGAACAUUAGAAUGGGCAAAACGAGUGACCUAAGUGACUUUGAGCGUGGUAUGAUUGUCGGUGCCAGGCGCGCCGGAUCCAGGAUCUCAGAAACCUCUGCCCUCUUGGGCUUUUCACGCACGACACUGUCUAGGGUUUUACCAGGAAUGGUGCGACAAACAAAAAACAUCCGUUCAGCAGCAGCCCUGUGGGCAAAAACAGCUUGUUGAUGAGAGAGGUUAAAUGAGAAGAGCAAGAAUCAUGCAAUCUAACAGGUGGGCCACAAACAGACAAAUAACGGCACAGUGUAACAGUGGUGUGCAGAACGACAUCUCGGAAUGUACAUCUCGUUGAUCCCUGUCACGGAUAGGCUAUUGCAGCAGACGAUCACACCAGGUUCCUCAUUAAAAACAAGAAGAUGCGGCUUCAUUGAGGACGUGAUCACCAACACUGGACAAUUGAGGAGUGGAAAAACAUUGUUUGGUCCUACGAAUCCCUGUUCCUGUUGCGUCAUGGACACAUUCUGCCUGGUGUCAACUGUACAGGCUGGUGGAGGUGGUGUAUCGCCGUCAAAUCUGCAGCAACUAUGUGAUGCCAUCAUGUCAGCAUGGACCAACACUCCUGUGGAACAUUUCUGACUUGUAGAAUCAAUGGCCCAGAGAAAUUAGGCUGUCCUGGAGGCAAAAGGGUUCCAACGAGCUACACAAAGUACUCAAACAUUUGUAAAAUAAAACACUAAUAUAUCUUGAUUACAUGAGUGUUCAACCCCCUGAGUUAAUACAUGUUAGAAACACAUUUGGCAAUGAUUACAGCUGUGAGUCUUUCUGGUAAGUCUCGAAGAGCUUUGCACACUUGGGUUGUACAAUUUGGCCCAUUAUUCUUUUAAAAAUUCUUCAAGCUGGACAGCCAUUUUCAAGUCUUGCCAUAGAUUUUCAAGCCGAUUUAGGUCGAAACUGUAACUAGGACACUCAGGAACAUUCAAUGUCAUCUUGGUAAGCAACUCCAGUGUUUAAUUAGCCUUGUGUUUUAGGUUGUUGUCCUGCUGAAAGGUACAUUUGUCUCCCAGUGUAUAACGACACAGGGCGAGACCCAGAUGCAGACACCGGAGGCAGAUGGUUUGAGUCUCCAAUAUUUAUUGAACAACAGGCCAGGCAAGAGGCAGGUCGAGGACAGGCAGAAGUUUAUAAACCAGGUCAGAGUCCAGAAGGUGCACAGUGUCUGUUGGAAAGCAGACUGAAACAGAUUUUCUUCUAGGAUUUUGCCUGUGUCAAAACAACUCCCAUGCCGAUAACAAGCAUACACAUAACAUGAUGCAGCCACCAUCAUGCUUGAAAAUAUGAAGAGUGGUAUUCAGGUAUGUCUUGUGUUGGAUUUUCCCCAAACAUAACGCUUUGUAUUCAGGACAUAAAGUACAAUUCUUUGCCACAUUGUUUUGCUGUUUUACUUUAGUUCCUUGUUGCAGACAAGAUGCAUGUUUUGGAAUAUUUGUUAUUCUGUAAAGGCUUCCUUCUUUUCACUGUCAAUUAGGUUAGUAUUGUGGAGUAUCUACAAUGUUGUUUUCUCCUUUCACAGUCAUUAAACUCUAACUGUUUUAAAGUCACCAUUGCCCUCAUGGUAAAAUCCCUGAGUGGUUUCCUUCCUCUCCGGCAACUGAGUUAGGAAGGAGGCCUGUAUCUUUGUAGUGACUGGAUGUAUUGAUACACCAUCCUAAGUGUAAUUAAUAACUUCACCAUGCUUAAAGGGAUAUUCAAUGUCUGUUUUUUAAUGUUUACCCAUCUACCAAUUGGUGCCCUACUUUGAGAGGCAUUGGA